GUUACAAAGGGCGCAUAUGAGGAUGCCUUGGGAGUAUCGGCCGAUGAAGGACGUGGAAGUCUGCGAUAAGCCUCGGGGAGCUGACAAACAAGCUUUGAGCCGGGGAUUUCCGAAUGGGGAAACCUAACCGUGUAAACCACGGUUGUGUUGUGCGAAGCACAAUAGUUACUAGAAUCUAGAUUCUAGAGCCUAGCUACUGUUGCGCUUCGCGUGACAUGGGUACCCGCUGAACUGAAACAUCUUAGUAAGCGGAGGAAAAGAAAUCAAUUGAGAUUCCGUUAGUAGUGGCGAGCGAAAGCGGAAAAGCCUAAAUUGUUUGAUGAAAAAAUAUGUUAGCAGAAAGAGUCUGGAAAGGACUGCCAUAGAGGGUAAAAGCCCCGUAUGUGAAAAUAUAUUUUUUCUAUAGAAUAAUUCAACCCCGCUCAGCGGGGUGGAAAGUAGGGCAGGACACGUGAAAUCCUGUCUGAAAAAUCGCGCUUUGCGCGAAUGGGUGGAUCGUCAUCCAAGGCUAAAUACCGAUACUCACCGAUAGUGAACUAGUACCGUGAGGGAAAGGUGAAAAGUACCCCGACCCGGGGAGUGAAAUAGAACCUGAAACUAUGUGCCUACAAGGAGUCGGAGCCCCGCACCCUUGAACAACCAAUCUUAUUAAAGAUUGAGGAUAAUCUAAUUAGUCGGAUAAUUAAAAUUUUACCGGUUAAUUUAUUAUCUUUAGACUUUUAAGUCUGUUGUCCAAAGGCGCGGGGUGACGGCGUGCCUUUUGAAGAAUGACCCAACGAGUUAUUAGAUACGGCAAGCAUAAGUCCUUGUCGGACGGAUGCGAAGCGAAAGCGAGUCCUAACCGGGCGUAAGUCGUAUCUAGUAGACCCGAAACUGAGUGAUCUAUCCAUGAGCAGGCUGAAGCCCCGCGAAGGCGGGGUGGAGGGCCGAACCCACCAAUGUUGAAAAAUUGGGGGAUGACUUGUGGAUAGCGGUAAAAUGCCAAGCGAACUCAGAGAUAGCUGGUUCUCCUCGAAAUAUAUUUAGGUAUAGCCUAUAGAUAGGACUUGGGGGUAGAGCACUGGAUGGAUUGACGGAGAGCAAUCUUCGUUAUCCAAUCAAACUCCGAAUACCAAGUAUCCGUUUCUAUAGAGUCAGACUGUGAGGGCUAAGCUUCAUAGUCUAAAGGGAAACAGCCCAGACCGUCAGCUAAGGUCCCUAAAUACUUGCUAAGUGGUAAACGAUGUGACAAAGCUCCGACAACCAGGAGGUUGGCUUAGAAGUAGCCAUCCUUUAAAGAAAGUGUAACAACUCACUGGUCAAGGUUUGUUGCGCGGAAAAUUUAACGGGGCUCAAGCAAGUUACCGAAGCUACGGGCUCGUGCUACGCACGAGCGGUAGAGGAGCGUUCUUAUUGCGUUGAAGCUGAAUUGCGAGAUUUAGUGGAGCGGUAAGAAGUGAGAAUGUUGGGAUGAGUAACGAAUUUGACAGGUGAGAACCCUGUCCACCGAAUACCCAAGGUUUCCCGGGCAACGACGAUCGUCCCGGGGUUAGGCGGCCCUAAUCCCGCACCUUGUCCCGAAGCGGAACGCGGAUGAAUAAUCCGACGUGAAGCAUUCGAGCCAAAGUGCGGGAGAUGGAUAGCAGGUUGAUAUUCCUGCCCUCGCCUUGCGAUUACACCUUAUUGACGCUUUUUCAAGCUGAUAUUGAGAUUUGGUUAUGUUCAAUAUUGGGGAGAAAGAGACCGGAAAAAGUAAGGAUUGACUACGCAAGGCAUCCGUACCACAAACCGACACAGGUGGGUUGGUCGAGAAGACUAAGGUGAACGAGCUAACUCUCGUUAAGGAACUCGGCAAUAAAGCGUCCGUAACUUAGGGAUAAGGACUCCCCGCACCCUUCAAAGACAGACUUUGUCUUAAUUAAUUCGCUAAAGCGAAUUGAGUCUUUGAAAGGUGCGGGGUGCAACAAAAGACUUUCAGGCGACUGUUUACCAAAAACUUAGGUCUCUGCAAACCCAUUAGGGGAAGUAUAGGGGCUGAUGCCUGCCCAGUGCUAGUAGGUUAACGGAAGCGUUAAUGGCAGCAGUAUUUCAGAUAUGAGUAAUCUCAAACAGCUGGAUUAUUAAUUUUAGAAUCCAAAAAACUGUUAGGACUAUCUCGUAUCUGAAAUUCUGCUGCCAGAGGCGUUUCUCGAAGCCCUAGUAAACGGCAGCGGUAACUAUAACCGUUCUAUGGUAGAAAAUAAAGCUGCCAUAGUGAGGUACAAAACCUCCGUUCGAACUUCCUAUGCCGGAAGAUGUAGGACGAAAAUCUGACUAAAUGCUGGAAAAUCUGCGUAUCCUAGGCUACUAUGGUAUAAUGUAACCAUAGGUUAUUAUGCCAAGUAAAAAUGUUUUAGGUGCAGACAAUCAGCAGGAAAGACUAGAUUGGUGGAUUGUUGGUUUUGUUGACGGAGAAGGAACAUUUUCCGUAAGCAUUAAUCGCAAUCGUACAACCUCCAGGGGAUUUCAGGUUUUUCCAGAGUUUGUGAUAACUCAGGGAUUAAAGAGCCUAAAAUCGUUGGAGAUAGUGAAGAAGAGAUUCAAUUGUGGUAAGAUCUACGUUAACAGACGCAGAGAUAACCAUAAUGAGAAUCUAUAUCGCUAUGCUGUAAGGUCUCUGAACGAUCUCGAAAACAAGAUAAUUCCUUUCUUCGAAUAUCAUCAGCUGAAAACAGCAAAACACAGAGAUUUUCAACUGUUUUGUACUGUUAUAAAUAUGAUGUUAGAUAAGAAACAUCUUGAAGAUAAGGGAUUUUCAAAAAUUUUGGAGAUUGCCUCAAAGAUGAAUAGAAAACAAUCUAGAAUCCUCAACGACUAUACGUCAGACUCUGACUGAAACAUUGGAGAAGAUAUAGUCUGAACUGCAUGGCGACAUGCAGAUGCGCAGGAAUACAAUAACAAAUUAAGCGAAAUUCCUUGUCGGGUAAGUUCCGACCCGCACGAAUGGCAUAACGGUCUGAAAACUGUCUCGACGAGAGGCUCGGUGAAAUUACAAUGCCGGUAAAGAUGCCGGUUACCCGCAGCAAGACGAAAAGACCCCGUGAAGCUUUACUACAGUUUGAUAUUGGCUUUCGGAUAUACAUGUGUAGCAUAGGUGGGAGCUUAGGCAACAGUGAAAUACCACUCUUGCAUGUUUGAAAGUCUAAUCCUGACAUUAUGUCGGGAAACAGUGUCUGACAGGUAGUUUGACUGGGGCGGUCGCCUCCUAAAGAGUAACGGAGGCGUCCAAAGGUUGGCUUAGCUCGUAUGGAAAGCGAGCCUCAAAGUGUAAAAGCAUAAGCCAGCUUGACUGCAAGGCCUACAAGCCGCGCAGGUACGAAAGUAGGGUUUAGUGAUCCUCUAAUUCCAAACGAUGGGGUUAGAGCUCAACGGAUAAAAGCUACUCCGGGGAUAACAGGCUGAUCGCAUCCAAUAGUCCAUAUAGACGAUGCGGUUUGGCACCUCGAUGUCGGCUCGUCGCAUCCUGGAGCUGAAGAAGGUUCCAAGGGUUUGGCUGUUCGCCAAUUAAAGCGGUACGCGAGCUGGGUUCAGAACGUCGCGAGACAGUUCGGUCUUCAUCUGCUGUGGGCGUAGAAAUUUGAGGGAGUCUCUUCGUAGUACGAGAGGACCCGAAGAGGGGAACCUCUGGUGUAUCGGUUGUACCACCAGGUGCAUUGCCGAGUAGCUAAGUUCUUUCGGGAUAACCGCUGAAAGCAUAUAAGCGGGAAGCCCAUCCCAAGAUUAGAUUUCUUAGAUUCCAGAAAGACCAUCUGGUUGAUAGGCUCUAGGUGUAAGUCCCGUAAGGGAUUCAGCCGAGGAGUACUAAUGAUCUAG
rnacentral:rRNA from 1 species